rnacentral:rRNA from 1 species
UGGCUCAGGAUUAAUGCUGGCGGCAUGCCUAAUACAUGCAAGUUGAACGGAUAGUAGCAAUACUAUUAGUAGCGAACGGGUGAGUAACACGUACUUAAGAUACCAUAAUGUUUGGGAUAACUAGUGGAAACAUUAGCUAAUACCGAAUAGGAUAACUAAUCUCAUGAAUAGUUAUUUAAAGGGGCCCUUAAAAGCCUUGCUUUAUGAUUCGGGUGCGGUGCAUUAGCUAGUUGGUAAGGGUAAUGGCCUACCAAGGCAAUGAUGCAUAGCCAAUCUGAGAGGAUGAAUGGCCACAUUGGGACUGAGACACGGCCCAAACUCCUACGGGAGGCAGCAGUAGGGAAUUUUUCACAAUGGGCGAAAGCCUGAUGGAGCAAUGCCGCGUGUUUGAUGACGGCCUUUGGGUUGUAAAAAACUGUUAUAUGGGAUGAAAAAAAUAGAUAGGAAAUGAUCUAUUAUUGACAGUACCAUAUUAGAAAGCCACGGCUAACUACGUGCCAGCAGCCGCGGUAAUACGUAGGUGGCAAGCAUUAUCCGGAAUUAUUGGGUGUAAAGGGAGCGUAGACGGUUUUAUAAGUCUGAGGUUAAAUGCAUAAGCUUAACUUAUGCCUGCCUUAGAAACUAUGAAACUAGAAUGUGAUAGAGGACAAUGGAAUUCCAUGUGUAGCGGUGGAAUGCAUAGAUAUAUGGAGGAACACCAAUUGCGAAAGCAGUUGUCUGGGUCAUUAUUGACGUUGAGGCUCGAAAGCAUGGGGAGCAAAUAGGAUUAGAUACCCUAGUAGUCCAUGCUGUAAACGAUGAAUACUAGUUAUUAGGAGUUUAUCCUAGUAACUUAGCUAACGCGUUAAGUAUUCCACCUGAGUAGUACAUUCGCAAGAAUGAAACUUAAAGGAAUUGACGGGGACCCGCACAAG